rnacentral:lncRNA from 1 species
UUUUUUUUUUUGAUAACCCAGGUGUCCCAGCUUAGCCGGACUAAAUCCUGGACCUCUAGCCCCCGGCCCCUCAGUGACUAGUGGAGGUAAAUCGCAGGUUGUGCCCUUGUUGGUUCCCAGGUUCCCACAUGGCUUUUACUCCUUCCCCAAAGGGACCCUCCUCCAUAGUUAUUACAUCACCAAGCUGCUCCAACCCUUCCUCUGGUUAUUACAUCACUUGGCUGCUCCAACCAGGAAUCGAACUCCCCACACUUGGUUCCAGAGCCCCACAACGUAGGAAAGUUAAUGAUAUGUAAUACCUACUAUUGGUUCCCACAGCGGAUGGUCGUUUCGGACUUAUUUGGCUUCAACUUCGUAUAGAGUCGUUUUAUGCAUAUUGUAAUUGGCAAUUAAAAGUAUGGAAAUACAAUGCUGCAAGUGUAAAGUUUCAUAAGAGACUCAUUUUUUUUCUUUUUCUUUUUGUAGUUCAUGGAAGGGACAACUAGUGGAAGUUGAUUUUCCAGUCAUUUGUUGGUGUUGUUUGAUAUUAAUACAUUGUAAAUUAGUGGGGUGAAUAUGUUCAUGUCAUCCAGUUGAUUGUAGACAUUAACUUAUUAAUGAUGUGUGUGAAAUAAUUUCUUUCAUAAUUGUGCUUCCCUCCUUAUAUUAGGCUAAUUUUAAUUUACAUUUGCUGGAUUACAAUGUAAUGCAAUUACAUGCAUCGGUUUUUGGAGUUCAGAUCUACUGUCUCAUUUUUGUCAUCUUUCUAAUAAAAACUUGAUGCUUCACUCCAAUUUUGAGGGCAAACCCCAUCUUGGAUUGGGAAGUCUCAUUACUUCGUUUAGG